UACGUAGGGUGCGAGCGUUGUCCGGAAUUACUGGGCGUAAAGGGCUCGUAGGUGGUUUGUCGCGUUGUUCGUGAAAUCUCACGGCUUAACUGUGAGCGUGCGGGCGAUACGGGCAGACUAGAGUACUGCAGGGGAGACUGGAAUUCCUGGUGUAGCGGUGGAAUGCGCAGAUAUCAGGAGGAACACCGGUGGCGAAGGCGGGUCUCUGGGCAGUAACUGACGCUGAGGAGCGAAAGCGUGGGGAGCGAACAGGAUUAGAUACCCUGGUAGUCCACGCCGUAAACGGUGGGUACUAGGUGUGGGUUUCCUUCCUUGGGAUCCGUGCCGUAGCUAACGCAUUAAGUACCCCGCCUGGGGAGUACGGCCGCAAGGCUAAAACUC
rnacentral:rRNA from 1 species